GGGGGGGGCAAGCGUUUGUUCGGAUUUACUGGGCGUAAAGGGCUCGUAGGCGGCCAUCUAAGUCGGUUGUGAAAUCCCUCGGCCUCAACCGGGGAACUGCGACCGAUACUGGGUGGCUUGAAGCCGGGAGAGGGAUGCGGAAUUCCAGGUGUAGCGGUGAAAUGCGUAGAUAUCUGGAGGAACACCCGUGGCGAAGGCGGCAUCCUGGACCGGUCUUGACGCUGAGGAGCGAAAGCUAGGGUAGCAAACGGGAUUAGAUACCCCGGUAGUCCUAGCCCUAAACGAUGAAUGCUUGGUGGCGGGUAUCGAUCCCCUGCCCGUGCCGUAGCUAACGCGUUAAGCAUUCCGCCUGGGGAGUACGGUCGCAAGGCUG
rnacentral:rRNA from 1 species